AUUGAACGCUGGCGGCAGGCUUAACACAUGCAAGUCGAGCGAGCGGCGGACGGGUGAGUAAUGUCUGGGAAACUGCCUGAUUGAGGGGGAUAACUACUGGAAACGGUAGCUAAUACCGCAUACCCUCAGAUGUGCCCAGAUGGGAUUAGCUAGUAGGUGUGGUACUGGCUAACCUAGGCGACGAUCCCUAGCUGGUCUGAGAGGAUGACCAGACACACUGGAACUGAGACACGGUCCAGACGCCUACGGGAGGCAGCAGUGGGGAAUAGUGCACAAUGGGCGCAAGCAUGAUGCAGCCAUGCCGCGUGUGUGAAGAAGGCCUUCGGGUUGUAAAGCACUUUCAGAGAGGAGGCGUUACUCGCAGAAGAAGCACCGGCUAACUCCGUGCCAGCAGCCGCGGUAAUAC
rnacentral:rRNA from 1 species